rnacentral:rRNA from 1 species
UACGAAGGGGGCUAGCGUUGCUCGGAAUUACUGGGCGUAAAGAGCGUGUAGGCGGCCAUACAGGUCAGCUGUGAAAACUCGAGGCUCAACCUCGAGACGUCGGUUGAAACCGUAUGGCUAGAGUCCGGAAGAGGAGAGUGGAAUUCCCGGUGUAGCGGUGAAAUGCGCAGAUAUCGGGAAGAACACCUAUGGCGAAGGCAGCUCUCGUGGGACGGUACUGACGCUGAGACGCGAAAGCGUGGGGAGCGAACAGG